CAGCACAUAAGCAGCAGAAUCCACCGUGUCACUCCCAGAAGAGCAUUCUCCAUGGACUUCUGUGAUGUACUACCGACAAUCAAGCAAGUCCAAAGGAAGUUCCAAGAGUAAGAUGUCAGGCAAUAUCCACAGCUUCUCUGCACAUCCAUCAGCAAGUCUCCUGGAGCAAGUGGGGUAUGCUCCAUGCCACCACCAGCUGUCCCAUCUCCCAGUCACACCAGGUAUCUGAGGAGUGGCUACUCACAGAAUACUGAAACACCUUGGGAUAAUGGAAUCCCUGAGUCAAGAUCCACCUGCAUCAUCUUUUAUUCCUUGCAUGUUAUAAGAAUCACCUCCACCCUCAAGAGUGCCCGUGUUCUCUGACAGUGUUUUCAUAAAGACCGAGGCAAUACGAUAAGGAGGUUAUUUUAAGCACAAAGCCUUCUGCCCUCUUCCAUUCAGAAAUACACACAUUUUUAGGAAUUCAUAGUCCCUUAUGAAGGUGGUAGCUGCAGGGUUCCUAAACUCAGGGCAUGAGCCAAAUAGAAAAGAUUUCCCUGUUACCUACAAAUGGGAUCUCUUAGGUGUAUGCCUCCUAGCAUGCCUCUCUUAGAUGGGUAGUUUGUUAGUUUCUCCAAACAUGUGGGGAGGGACCUCCAUUUUUAGACAUGGAGUGAUGGGGAGAAUAGAGUACAGCAUCCAAAACAGAAGAAAGUUCUAGCUAAUCAAUUAUGAGCUGGGGAAGGAAUGAAGUAGUG